UUAGAGUUUGAUCCUGGCUCAGGAUGAACGCUAGCGAUAGGCUUAACACAUGCAAGUCGAGGGGCAGCACGGUGUAGCAAUACACUGGUGGCGACCGGCGUACGGGUGCGUAACACGUAUGCAACCUACCCGCUAUUGGGGGAUAACCCGGCGAAAGUCGGACUAAUACCCCAUAUUAUUCUUACCGGGCAUCCGGUAGGUCUGAAAGAUUUAUCGAUUGCGGAUGGGCAUGCGGAUGAUUAGCUAGUAGGUGGGGUAACGGCUCACCUAGGCGACGAUCAUUAGGGGUUCUGAGAGGAUGAUCCCCCACACUGGUACUGAGACACGGACCAGACUCCUACGGGAGGCAGCAGUAAGGAAUAUUGGGCAAUGGGCGCAAGCCUGACCCAGCCAUGCCGCGUGCAGGAUGACAGCCCUACGGGUUGUAAACUGCUUUUAUACGGGAAAAAACCCUCUGACGUGUCAGAGGCUGAUGGUACCGUAAGAAUAAGCAUCGGCUAACUCCGUGCCAGCAGCCGCGGUAAUACGGAGGAUGCAAGCGUUAUCCGGAUUUACUGGGUUUAAAGGGUGCGCAGGCGGAACGACAAGUCAGUGGUGAAAUCUCCUGGCUCAACCAGGAAACUGCCAUUGAUACUAUCGUUCUUGAGUCCAGUUGAAGUAGGCGGAAUGUAGCAUGUAGCGGUGAAAUGCUUAGAUAUGCUACAGAACACCGAUAGCGAAGGCAGCUUACUAAACUGAAACUGACGCUCAUGCAGGAAAGCGUGGGGAUCAAACAGGAUUAGAUACCCUGGUAGUCCACGCCCUAAACGAUGAUCAGUCGUUGUUGGCAACUAUAUCAUCAGCGACUAAGCGAAAACAUUAAGUGAUCCACCUGGGGAGUACGAUCGCAAGGUUGAAACUCAAAGGAAUAGACGGGGGCCCGCCCAAGCGGAGGAGCAUGUGGUUUAAUUCGAUGAUACGCGAGGAACCCUACCUGGGCUAGAACGCAGAACGACGUUUCGGGAAACCGGAAUUCUCUUCGGAGCGAUCUGCGAGGUGCUGCAUGGUUGUCGUCAGCUCGUGCCGUGAGGUGUCGGGUUAAGUCCCAUAACGAGCGCAACCCCCAUUCUUAGUUGCCAUCAGGUAAUGCUGGGGACUCUAAGAAAACAGCCUACGCAAGUAGUGAGGAAGGUGGGGAGGACGUCAAAUCAGCACGGCCCCUAUGUCCAGGGCUACACACGUGCUACAAUGGCCGGUACAGAGGGCAGCCACCUGGUGACAGGGAGCAAAUCUCCAAAGCCGGUCUCAGUUCGGAUCGAAGUCUGCAACUCGACUUCGUGAAGAUGGAUUCGCUAGUAAUCGUAUAUCAGCAACGAUAC
rnacentral:rRNA from 1 species